rnacentral:rRNA from 1 species
UACGUAGGGGGCAAGCGUUGUCCGGAUUUAUUGGGCGUAAAGAGCGUGUAGGCGGCCAAGCAGGUCCGCUGUGAAAACUCGAGGCUCAACCUCGAGACGUCGGUGGAAACCGUUUGGCUAGAGUCCGGAAGAGGAGAGUGGAAUUCCCGGUGUAGCGGUGAAAUGCGCAGAUAUCAGGAGGAACACCUGUGGUGUAGACGGCUUUCUGGACCAUAACUGACGCUGAGACACGAAAGCGUGGGUAGCAAACAGG